UACGUAGGUGGCAAGCGUUAUCCGGAAUUAUUGGGCGUAAAGAGCGCGCAGGUGGUUAAUUAAGUCUGAUGUGAAAGCCCACGGCUUAACCGUGGAGGGCCAUUGGAAACUGGUUGACUUGAGUGCAGAGGAGGGAAGUGGAAUUCCAUGUGUAGCGGUGAAAUGCGUAGAGAUAUGGAGGAACACCAGUGGCGAAGGCGGCUUCCUGGUCUGUAACUGACACUGAGGCUCGAAAGCGUGGGGAGCAAACAGG
rnacentral:rRNA from 1 species